rnacentral:lncRNA from 1 species
GGGCUUGGGAGAGGAACUGGGCAUGCGUAGCUCGGCCUGUUUCCCGCCCCACCGCGCUUCUCCUUUCUUGGCUUGGCCUGUGCGCCUGUAGAGUGGGAUUGCUCUGGUCUGAUCCAGGCCCACACUUUCCGAAUACCUCCUCAGUCGGAGUCAGUUUUUCUUCCUCUGAAAUCUUCCUCCAUUUGACACUUACUGGAUCCUGCCUCAAGAGCAAAACAGUGGAACUUCUGGAAGGAUACACUCUAUUCGUUACUACUGAGGAGCGGUGAAACCACUCUGCACUGGAGGGCAAGAGUUUAUACGUGGGACGCCUACCACAGCAUGGCUGCCAAGCAGUGCCAUGUCCGCACCCCGGAUCCGAACCAGCGAACCCCGGGCCGCCGAGAAGCUGAACGUGCGAACUUAACCGCUGCGCCACCGGGCCGGCCCCAAUUUAUUUAUUUUUAAUGCAUAGUAACCUUAUUAAGCUAAUUUCCCCUUCAUCUUAAUAAUUUAUUAGUUGUGUCUGGGACUUCGUGCCAUAAGCGCUUCACCACAGAAUGAAAAACAAUGUAACCUGAGAGCAGAUUGGCUGGCAGAAUGCCGAGCAACGGUAAUCAGGACAGAUUUCCUGAGGCUUGCUCUGAGCCAAGCCUAUGCCUGGUCUGGAGCAUUCAAGAAAAGCCUCAGACAUUUAUCGAUGCCUUCAAGGAAAGAAAGUCUUCCACAUCCCCAGGUCUGUGAGACUCGCUUUCCAAUUUCCCGCAUCAUUAGCACCACUCUGGCAUCCUUCAGCCCUUAGGAACGUGUCUGUUUGCCGGGAGAUCUUAGACCUCAGACCUGAACAAGUCUGCGAUGCCCAAAGCCUCAGGACUCAUCACUUCAAGAACUCACUUACUUCAGCUCUGUUUCCAGGAAGGACUUUAUCAAAGCCCUCUUGCUGUGUCCUGCUGCUGCUUUAACAUUUCAGAGAGUAGCAAAAUGCUAGAGCUGGUAUGGACCUUUGCGUUUAUCUAGUUCAACCUGCUCAUUUUACAAAUGAGAGAAGUUGCUUCAGGAAAAGAUUCUCCCCUGCUUUGGUGAUGGCGCUCCGUGGACAGUGAAUCGGGCACCACUGCUGGGACUGACAUUUAUUUAUACACGUAUUGGUGCGUUUACUUGUUCCAGGAAUGAUUUGAGACCAAACGUCUGAUAUUAAGAAACCCACGCAUGAAGAAAAGACAUGAGUUCUCUGUGCUACAGUGAACAUUUUUUUUCACCUAGAAAUGGAGAAGUGAGGCCUAUUUGCUGUAAAGCGACUAAAUCACUCUGUCAUUCCACGUAUUUAUGUAGUCUGAAUCUCUCUGUUAAUCCUUCACUCUAUCCUUGCUGGAAGAAAUAUGCCCUACACAUGAAUAUAUUCUUUUCAAAAAUUUUAAAAA